rnacentral:lncRNA from 1 species
CAAAUCAGGAGGCUCGGGCGGCCGAGGUCCCGGAGCCGAAUCAGGUGUCCGGAGCCGGUACUGGUGUCUGCAGCAGACAGGUGCCAACUGAGAAUGGAAGAGGGGACACUAUGAACUGCUCAGCUCAGCUCAGGGGCAGGGAACCACUGUGCAGGCCCAAGCGAACAAGAGCAGGGCUAGAUGGCCCUCAAGCUGGCACAUUAUGGAAAGGAUGAUGCAGAGGUGACAUGGUGAGUCACCAAGAGAAGCAGAGCUGGGGUGAAAGAAGACCAGAGGCGUGAUGGGCACAGGGACUCGCUGGAAAUUCUCAUCUACAGGCACUGCACUGUCUUGCCUUUGCUGUACCAGAUCCCACAACGUCUCGGCUUGGUGACUCGGCCAUGGCAUCUGCAAGCCGUUCCCGGAGGCCCUCCUCUGAGUGCUCCAUGGAGGACAUAUGCCGCAGCCCGAAGCCCUCAGGCCAGCUCCCACACACCUCCAGCAGGGUCACGCUCCGGUCAAAGGCUGGCUCCCAAAGAAACUCCAUUCACCCGCCACACAACGUAGAAGAUGGUGUUCCACGAGUUAACGGAAUUGGACAGCCCAUCAUCAAGUGACACACAGCCAUUAUCCCAGGGCAACGCAUCACGGACAGGUCUGUGGGAUGUCGGUAAAAGCACAGCCCCCCUAGCCCCCAGCCCCAUGCUUUCAGUCACCCAGAAGCAUGAUUCGAGCAGGGCUCAUGCCUGUAGCUCCAGCACUCAGGAGGCUGAAGUAAGAGGGCUGCCAUGACUUCCUGGACAGCCUAGGCUACAGAACAAAGCCUGUCUAAGUAUAUUAUAUGCAUGUACUGCAAUGUCCUUCUAUAACCCAGUACCAUGUACAAUGAAGAUACUUCAAGGAAGGACAACUGUUAAUUGUGUGCAGUAUACUUGGUAGUGAUAAUGAGCAGCUGUUAUUAGUUUAUAUAUCAUUGCUACUUUAGAGAGCAUACUUCUAUUUAUUAAAAAGAAGUUGACGUUUUUAUAAUCAGGGGAAGAAUGGUUGAAGAGAGAAUGGGCCUGAGAAACGCAUACAGGCUGGGCCAGGAGGCUGCUAAGCACUGGAGGGAGCCUGGACCUGCCCAGCUGGCUCCCUGGUAGUUCCUGCACAGGGCUUGCCUCAGUGGGAGGCAGGUGAGCUCGCAGCUCCGUGGCUGACUCUUCUCCCAGUGGCCACGGCUGGCUGCACGCAAUGUUGACUCACCCCUGUGUACACACAUUAUUUCUCUUUAAAGUGUGUCAGGAAUGUGAACCAACUUGCACUGAAAGAUGGCGAAAACUGUUCUACCUUUGAACAAACUUCAUAUGCCAGGUCAGGAAGCGCCAGCACAACCCUGGAAGGAGUCCCAUCCCCCCACCUCAAUCCUCUGUAUGUUCAGGCACAGCUACCAAGGAACCAUCCUUCGAUGACCAGCCAGGGACAUGGGCCCUUUACACAUCACUAGGUCACUUACCAGAGCCCCUGUUGUCUGCCUGUGGGUCUGAGUAAGGCCCCAACACAGGCAGUUCCCAUGGCUCUAUAGUCACACAGUCUGGGGCUGCAGAGAACAGGAGAGCUCUGCAGACCAGGCAGUUGCUGGCCGGAAGCAAUGAUCUCCGUAGCUAGAUUGCAAAGGCACCAUUUCCUCCUGUAUGCUCUGGUCUGCUGCUGAGAUCUCGGGUCAGUGUCCACCAUGCGCCAUGUCACAUGUUCCUAUGUAGCAAGGCUGAACUCUCUGCUAUGCCGACUUAGGAACCUAGCAACUCCCUGGAUGGAAAAACUUCUCAGAACUAUGUAUUCCCAGGACAGCAAGUAUCCAUGCUGGUUUCCCUAGGACAGUUCGCAUAGCAAAGAAUAAGGUCUGGGAUCAGAGGGGUAUCAAAUGAAGAGAACAGACAUUCACUGAGCCUGUUGUGGGACAGAUACAGGCAGUUGCUUUAUGUAGACUGUCUCUCAAUCAGAGGUUGCCCACAGCUGAGACCGACUUCCAAUUUACAGACUGAAGAGCGGAGGCAGAGAGAGGCAGAAGGUAAUGGCGUGAGGGUACGGCCAGGAUUCUGGCUCCAGGUCCACCCAGAGCCAAAGCCUGUGCUUUUCCCCACUAAGACCUUUGAUUGGAUUCAGUUUGGGUGAGACCGGAGCAUACCCACUAAAAAUACAGCUGUGACAUACAGCUGCAGUGCCAGCAAGGGGCUUGAUUUCCUCUUUGGGCAACAAGCAUUUCCCACUGAGCCACACCCCUAGAGUUUUCAAACUACUCCAGAGUUUGAAAGUGGUUCUUGCAGCCGGGCACUGGGAGUAUGAUUUCUGUUCCCUACAGCAAAGCUGAUGUGAAGUGCUCAGCUGGGAACUCUGAGGUCAAACCUGGAGCUGAGAAGUCUUCUGCUUGCAAACUCAAGGAUGAUGUUUUAAAACCAUCAGUAUCAGCAGGGAAAGAUGCUUGCUGUCAAGCCUGAUAAACGGAGUUCAAUGCCCACAUGGUAGAAGGAAAGCAUCCACUUCUAUUAAUUGGCCUCUGACCUCUACAUAAGCAUUCCAUGGCACUCCCCCAACUCCCAAAUAAAAAUGUUAAAA